UUCAUCAACCAAACUGUAUAUCUGCCACGUACAAGAACGAGAAAUCGGACUUGGAACCAAUUGUCUUUACGCUUGCAUGGGGUUCUCUUAAAGUGACUUUUUCCAAAGAUAGUUUCUUGACAUGAGGGAGCUAACUUUACCAGACAGCGUGUGUUCAACACCGAGUUCGUGGAUGUGAUUGAACUUUUUACUCAAAUGAAUGUGUGUUAUUGAAUUCAAUUUUCUAAGCAUGUAGUACAAGAAAACAUGAAUGGAAAAUCAACAAUAUAAACAUAGCGGCUUUAAAGACGCUGCACCGAUCCGCCUGUCAAUCUCACACUCCCAUCAUGUCCCCAUUUGUGAACAAGACCACAAGAAGCCCAAGAUAUCCGAACUCCUGCACACGGGGCAGGUUCCCUGACCUGGAAAGCACACUCAAACUCAACCGUUUUUGCCACUGAGGACCAUGUCCUCAGAUUUGGAGGUGCUGAUUUCCAUCCCGAACGAGCUGCAAACAUCUCCAGUGAGAGUUUGACAUCCGGGCUUGAAGAAGCCAACAGUACAACGUCAUACUAAUGAGGCCUCAAAACCGGAUCCCUCAACGCCUCUGGUGCUCCUAGAAAUUCUGCGUUGAUGUCGCUCUGAGCUCUCCGCGCCACUCCCAGUGAAGAAACCCACAUUUCAGCCUUUUCAAUCAGCAAAUUUUAAUUAAGCUUUUUACCAUUAUAUUGCAAACACAAUUCAUUGUUAAGACCUACUUUUUACACCAGAUGGCAUCAAGUCUCACUGUUUUCACUGAAUCGUGCAUUGUUUUUCUUUUCUUUUGUUUCCUCGCAUGUACAAAUAGUUCUAACUGCAGGCGUGUCCGAUUGCUUGUGGUAUUUAAAGGCACAUAUUAAAAGUGGCUCAUCAGGA